rnacentral:lncRNA from 1 species
CAGGCACAGAAGUCAGGCUCAGGAGGGAGCACUCAGGCUGCAGAAGACCUGCUCCUGCUCAGCAAGCCCCUGACAGAUCUCGUCAGCCUGCUUAUCCCGCUGCUUCCUAGUGAGGAUCCUGAAAUUUUUGACAUCUCAUCCAAGUGUCUGUCUAUACUGGUUCAGCUGUACGGAGGGGAAAACCCAGACAGCCUGUCUCCUGAAAAUGCAGAGAACUUUGCUGAUUUACUGACAUCCAAAGAGGACCCAAAGGAGCAGAAGCUUCUGCUGAGGAUCCUCAGGAGAAUGAUCACCUCCAGUGAGAAGCACCUCGAAAGCCUCAAGCAUGCAGGCAGCCUCCUGCGGGCUCUGGAGUGGCUGGCCCUGGAUGGCGGCAAAUACUCUCACCCAUUCUUUUCUCCUCUCCCCUCCCCCAGGGACCAUCACCGUCGAGCCCGUCAUUGCCCACUGAGACUCCUCCCAGUGUGGGACGGGCCACUCUGCCCCUCCAGCCCCCUGGUAGGGGAGGUCAUGGGAGGGAGAUAAGUAGGAUAUCCUAGCCCUGCUGGGGGUGGGAGUGGCAAUAGUCCCAUCUAUAGGGACUGAGGUGUGUGUGGGUGGAGGGUUAUGACCAAGUGGGAGGGGACACCAGGAGGGAUAUGUGACGACCCUCCUCCUAAGGAAAGCAGCACCUGGCCUGCACAUGCAUGCAUGGCCCCAUCAGCAGAGGCACCAUUAUCACCACCACAUUGGAGAGGGUCUGAAACGCUGGGGUCAGAACACAGCUCAGCCUGCUCAACAGUCCCGGCUGCCUUCAGAGGGAAAAUUCGAAUCCCCAGAAUAGACUAUGAGAUACCAAGAAGCUGACUGUAAGAGGUUAGGUCAGCCUCCCAGUCCUCAGCUCCACAGUCAGUAUGUCUAGAAUAUCUCAGGAGUGAGGUGCAGAGACAAGGGCAGCCCUGUCACCUAGGAACCUGCUGAUGGCUGUGGAGGGAGGAACUGGCAUCUCAGCCGGCCCCAAGGUGGUGCUGAUGCUGGGGUGAUCAGGGCGCUGGGAGGGUUCUUCCCAUGACUACCCCCUGCCCCUGCACUCCCUGAACUUGAGAGGUGGUGGCAGGGGUGGGGGUGGAGGUAGUAAGGCUGAUGAGUUUUAGUUUAUUUAAAAUGUUAGUGCCAAGUGACAAAAGAAAAAUUGCAUGGGGUACAGAGAAAAUUGCCCCCAGGUAUCAUCCACCCUUUAGUCACCUGAGUACAAUGGCUCACUGCCUGUGACAGUGCUGGUGCCUGGCCAUGGUGAGGUGGGGAGGACUCAGGUGGUUUGAUUAAAUGACUCAGUGGAUGCACUGUCCCCAGAGCGGAGUGAGGUGGCUGGAGGAUAUGGUGAUCCCUGAGCCCCAGUUGCUCUCCUUGCCCUGGGGAGAAGGACCCACCCGGCUAAGGGGUGCCUGGCCUUUACUGGGUGUGCAUGACAUGGGAUGGGGCCUGGAAUUUCCUGGUAGUUUGUUUUCAGAACCACAGGGUUCUCUGAAAUCUGCUUCCUGGUGUUUUGGAUUUUGUAUUAAUGGGGGAAAAAAUAGGUGGUUGAGAUAUUGCUGAGAAGGAGAGUCUGUGGAGAAGGCUCAGCUCCAACCAGCCUCUUUGCACUAAUUGAUUUGGGUGGGGGAGGGGGACAGCAUCUCCUGGGCUACCCCACCCCCACCCCCUUUCCUCUUUAGCUUAAGCUAAAGACAUGGGUUCUUAUCCCUGGUUUCUAUGAGCUGAGGGGAAGGACAGGCUGACUUGGAUGAGAGGGGCCACUAUGGUUAAGGUGUGGACAGUGGCUUCCCUGGUGGGGCCAUAGACUUUCUGCUAGACUGGUUUAUGAGCAGUAGGGACCCUGGCCUUGAACAGACAGCUGAGAUGCAGACCCUACAAGCAGGUUUGUGCUGGGGAGGGAUAGGAGAGCCACUUGGAGACGUGGAGUUGAUAGGUAGCUCCUGGGAGCUCCCCAGGGCCUGCCUCUGUGGGACUCCUCACCCAGCAGGUGCCAAAGCCAGCACAUCCUCAUGCUGCACAGUUUGGGAGAGCUGAACCCAAAUUAAGACCAAAUGUGUCAAAACAAGGCUCCCUGAAGGUGGUGGCCUCUUCUGUACCCACAUGUAAGACUCCAGCAACAGACACAUCUACACCAGGCAGAUCUCAUAUGGGUCUGCAGGUUGCUGCUCUGAAGUUGUCUUAUUUGACCUUUGUUCAGAUGGGUUUUUAAGUUGACCAAGAGUGAAUAAAUGGCAGCCUUCUAUACUGAUGGGACCUUGUCAGGUUGGUGUGCCCUCCUUAUUGGUCACUGCCCACCCCACUCCCCCAGCCCUAGGGCUGCUCUGGCAGGUUGGGUGGGCAGCAUGGCUCCAUGGGACUAGCCUGGCCUCAGCUGGGAACAGGCCUAGUUCAAGUGCAUUCCCGCAUCCUUUGGGACCUUUGACCUGCAGAGUAGGAAUGCACUUCAGUCUCUGACUGCAGCCCCAGCCCCCUGCAACCCACCUCUUGUAUGUAACACCCCCACCCUGUUGUUUGGCAACAGCUUUAUUUUUGUGUAAUCAAGAGUGUGCCACCAGCUAAUUUAACACUUCAAGGCACAUUGUGAUGUGCCAUACUUUUCUUUGAUAACAGUUGUUAAGGCAUAGGUUUAAGUGUAUCUCAAAUAGUUUGCUCCUGUAACUGUUUCCAUUUUAAGCACUUAAUUGCACAUCCACAUCUAUGAGAAGAAGAAACCUCAUGCUGCUGGCUGAUUGGCCAGGAAGAGGCCACAUGGAGCAGGAGAGUCAGCCACUGGGAUCUCUGCUGGUUAGCACAAGCCAGCUGCAGGCAGGCGCCAGGCAGGCUCAUUGCAGUCCCCAGGCUGGCAGGCUCUGGCUGCCAUCUGCCUGACUUGCCCUCAGAGCUCAGCAUCAGUGCACUUGGCCAAAAUGAAUCGGACUUUGGGUGCUGGCAGGGCGGGGAGCUCAGGAGUAGCUUAGGGGUGCUGGCAGGGCCAGUGCUGAGCCCCAGUGGGACUGUGGGCUGAGGGGUCCUGAGAAUCCAGUUUCUGCUUCUCAAGAUGCUGCUUGGGGCAGGCAGCUCUGGCAAGCAGCUGGUCCAUCAGAUACUCAGGUGCAAAACAGGCCAGCCCCUUUGGAAGACAGCAAGCAUUUUUACCCUGGAGAUGCCCAAGUGUUUUUGUUUUGUGUGUUUUUUUCGCCAUACCCACAGCAUGAAAAUCGCCAGGCCAGGGAUUGAACCCGAGCCACAGCAGUGACAAUGCCAAAUCUUUAACUACUAGCCCAUCAGGGAACUCCACUAAAUGUUUUUACUUUGGUUUUUCUCACAGUUCAUCGGCCAACAGUGCAGUGGCUUCCUUGGCCCUCGAAAUCCUCCAAGCUGCUGGACACUAGGCAAGAAGGCACUUAACACAAGCCCUGCGGCACUCACCCUCGACUACACACACUCACCACAUGGCCACCUACAGCUCUAUUUGGAUCUAAUAAAGUCAGCUGAACUCAGAACCUCGGGCUGAGGUGCUCUAGCUCUGGAUCCCAGAAAACCCACUCAGAACAGACCUCCUCAUCUCCUGUGGAACACAUCUAGAAACCCCAGGUUUGCUAGCUGGUCUCAAUGUUCUUUUCCUCCCUGUGUGGACGGGUAGGUCUGUCAGAGGGGCAGGUCACUGCCUGUACUAAUCAAAGAGGAGAAGCUGCCAUCCUCAGUCUGUUGGUGUCUCUAAGCGUCUUUCUCCUCUGGAGAUUUAACAGGCAGGACUAGGCAGGCAUGUUCUUCCAGCCACAGCUCCAGAGCAAGCCUUUGGAAACAGUCUUAGCCUCUUGUCUUCCUCCCACUUUCACCAGCCUGGCUUUGCUUCAUUUCAGGGGUGAACUGAUUCCAAGAAUCUCAGGAGAAUUGGGCAAGACUCUACUAAACGGACACAGGUAGUUAAGUUUGCCCAAAGGAAUGCAAAACACUCAACGCUGGCUUCCUUGAAGGUCUGCCCAUCUAGAUGGGACGAUGGCAUCAAGGUAGAAUCAUCCCAACUCCUACCAAUGACGCCUUUAUCCUUGAACUCUUUCCAGCUUCUUGCUCACAAUACGCCCUUAAGCAUCUCCUUUGUAAGAGUCAAGCCUGUGAAAAUAUUUGAUGGACGCUGCUACAAGGUGUUGGACUGUUGUAUUGAGGAAGGUAGGGGUGGAUCUGGGGCAGCUCCAACCAAGUGAGCAAGUGAGAACAUUCCUUGGCCUCCUCCCUGGGGCCUCAGUUUUCCCCACUGCACAAUGAAAGCGUUAGAUCAGUGGCUGCAGUGCUCUGGGCUUCUUAGAGAGAGGGGAUCUGCCCGCUAACACACUGCCCAGGCCCAGAUGGGAUUGUGCUGGACAGAAGCGCCUGUGCAGGUAGGAUGGGCAGGGCAGGCAGAAGUGGAAGCCACAUGGGCACACCGGGUGACCGCAUCUAUUGCAUCAUGGGAAGCUGGUCACACUGUGCCACUGGGGUCGGAUUGGUAUGCCAGCUUCCAUUUCGCUUUGUAAUGAAAAUGGCAGCUCUGUGCCCCACUCCAUCAAAGGCAUGUAUGUCACUUAAGUCCCACCAUCUGCAAAGCAAAUUUCUUAGCCUCUUGUCUUCCCAGUCUUAGUGAGCUCAAAGAUAGGGGAACAUGAGCAGUCUGUUUGAGUAGGCAGAGGGAGGCUGAGGGCAGUAACCUGUCCCUGUCCCACACAAGAGGCUCAUACCCUUGUAUUUGGCUUCCCAGGCUGGCUCCAGUUCUGAGAAGAGCUGGCCCCUGGCCACCUAAGAGAGUUCUGAGGAUUCUGGCAGUGGUAAGAGGCUAAGGCACCUACUGGCCCUCCCCUGCCUACCACCUUGGAGCUUUAGCUAUUUGGGAUGAAUGGUGGCAGUGAAGUUGCAGAUAGAGGGGCAAAGGAGGCAGCAAGGGCAUGCCUUGCAUGGAGAGGCCCAAGCAAGUGGCUGCACCAGGCUGCCCUCUUUCUGUCAUUGACAGGACACCCAAUGCUUUAAGACUCCGCCUCUGCUUACAGCCUGAGUGGGUGCUCAGCGAGCUGCCCCUCUUUUUGGAGUGAUGGUGGCCCGAGACUUGACAGUCAUCUUGCAGCUUAGGAAGUGGGUCUGUAGGAUGGAGCAAUGAAAUUUGCCAUCUUGGGGUUCUUUGUACUGGUCUAGCUCUUCCUCUAUAACCAUAUUUCCACUAUUAUUACCUUGAAGUUCUCAGGUCAAUUCUGCAAAUGCAGGUCAGGUCUUACUCCUGUGGGAUAGCUCGGAAAGUGGGGAGUCUAGUGGCUAAGGCUCUUGCUCAGAGUGACAGAAGAGGAGCUGGGUUUCUCCUGCUUCCACUUGAAGCAAAAUGCCCUAUUUUCUUCCUCUUCCAGCAACAGAAAAACAUGUAUAAACCCAUCUCUCUGGUAUAUGAAUUUAUGUAGGGACUAAGGUAAGAGCCUAAGUAAGGAAGGAAUUGGCAGGGGAGGGGAGGCAAGGAGCCACAAAAGCCUGAAAGGGCUUGGUCUCUUGGGAGAGCUGUCUAGAGCAGGGUGGGGACAAGACUCACCUAAGUUUGGGAGGCACUGGCCCCAAGAGCUACAAACUUUGGUGGGGCUGAGGCAGGGGAGCAGCAACGAGAGAAGCCUUGGUGUAGAGCAAGGACCAGGGCGGUGUGGAGUCCUCACAUGACCUGGAAGAAGACUGGCUUUUUACACCCGGCCCCUCAGAAGCUUGAUGCUGAGGUGGCAAAGGCAGCCUGUCACCUCCCUCUAGCUUACUCCACAAAGGACUCUGAUGGCUAAGAAAAAGGAAGCAUUACCCUUUUUGCCAUCCCUCCCCAUUAUUUUCUAGUUGUAUCUGAUGGGUGUUCGGUUAAGAUUCUCACCUACUAUUAAAAACUUUGGUGGAGCCACUUCAGCUAUCUGAAUUUUAUAAACCAAACAGCACAGUUCGGAUCUUCUGUUUUUAUCACACUGAUGAAAACAAGAAUCAAAGAGCAUAUUCAUCUCAAGAUCUUUGAUGGUCGAAUAACCAGAUCAAAGCCUCAUGUCUAGAACAUCUCCAACAAGGAAAAGCUUCAUUUAUCAGCUCAAUGGUGAUAACUGCAGUGGGAUCAGAUGUCCUCUGCACCUUUGUCCCCAGGUAACCCGCUAUUCUGAUUUCUAUAGUAAUCUAAUAAUUUCCUUGCUUUUUAGUUUUACCACCUGUGGAUGAUUUCCUUAAAAGAGUGUGCCCCCCCUUUAUUUUUUUGCACCAGUUAAGUCCUAUGGCAUGCAUCUGUGACUUGACUUGGUCAAUAUCAUUAUUUGAGAUAGAUAUACCCAUAUUAUUGUGUUGAAGCUGUAGCUUUUUUUACUGCAGUGUGGCCGUUUCCUUAUCUGGAUAAAGCAAUUACUGGACACAUGGGCUUUUGAUAUUUUGUUGGUCAUAGAUAUUUUUUUUGCAUUAAUUUCAGUUUUAUCCAAAUAGCUACCAUACUUUUACUAAAGUCCCUCUUUUUCACACUGACCUCCAAAGCUACCUCUAAGUGUCUACUGUCUUCACCUUAUUCUGUUCCCUUAGUCUAUACUUCUGUCCACAUGCCCUUUACAGCAUUAAUCACAGCACUAACUACGCCUACCUUUAGAGUUAGGUCUUGAUGGCUGGUAGAACAAGUUUUCCCAUUUUAUUCUUCACGAGCGUCUUGGCUGUUCUUGGCCCUGUGUCCUUCUAAGUACACUGCAGAACUAACUACCUUGCUGAAUCAGAGUAACCUUCAUAUUAAGUUUUUAAAUGGAACUUCAAAACUCCAAUAAUAUUAGAUAAGCUCUAAAAAAUGUUUUCCAGGAGUUCCCGACAUAGUGCAGUGGAAACAAAUCCAACUAGAAACCAUGAGGUUUUGGGUUUGAUCCCUGGCCUCACUCAGUGGGUCAAGGAUCCGGUGUUGCAGGUCGCAGAUGCAGCUCGGAUCUGGGGUUGCAGUGGCUGUGGUGUAGGCCGGCGGCUACAACUCUGGUUAGAACCCUAGCCUGGGAACCUCCAUAUGCAGGUGUGACCCUAAAAAG